GUGAAGCUGUUCGAUUCUCGUGCUAAGUACCAUAAAUUACAAGGAAUAGGAUAGAAUUGUGCCGCAUCCACCUCGAAACCCUUAUCUUUCGUACCCGUCAGGCGUAUAAUGCUUCACUGGAUAGCAUUAGCAAUUAUGCGUAGAUUGUUCGGAAAGUUUCACUAUGAUUUGAAAGCACCAGCACCACCAGUGCGUGGACCGUAAAGUAUCAGUAUCAUGAUGUGCUGCCUCCACUGGAUCCAGGUAAGGACUCCAUCGAUCAUCGGUGUAAGA